rnacentral:rRNA from 1 species
UACGUAGGGGGCAAGCGUUGUCCGGAAUCAUUGGGCGUAAAGAGCGCGUAGGCGGCCCUGUAAGUCCGCUGUGAAAGUCAAGGGCUCAACCCCUUGAAUGCCGGUGGAUACUGCAGGGCUAGAGUCCGGGAAGAGGCGAGUGGAAUUCCUGGUGUAGCGGUGAAAUGCGCAGAGUAUCAGGAGGAACACCGAAUGGCGAAGGCAGCUCGCUGGGACGGACUGACGCUGAGCGACGAAGCGUGGGGAGCAAACAGG